UACGAAGGGGGCUAGCGUUGCUCGGAAUUACUGGGCGUAAAGCGCACGCAGGUGGCUGAGUAAGUCGAUUGUGAAAGCCCUGGGCUUAACCUGGGAAUUGCAGUCGAUACUGCUCGGCUAGAGUAUGGGGAGAGGGUAGUGGAAUUCCCGGUGUAGCGGUGAAAUGCGUAGAUAUCGGGAGGAACAUCAGUGGCGAAGGCGGCUACCUGGCCCAAUACUGACACUCAGGUGCGACGAGCGUGGGGAGCAAACAGG
rnacentral:rRNA from 1 species